rnacentral:rRNA from 1 species
UACAGAGGGUGCAAGCGUUGUUCGGAAUUAUUGGGCGUAAAGGGCGCGUAGGCGGUGCGGUAAGUCCGCAGUGAAAUCUCUGGGCUCAACUCAGAGUCUGGCUGUGGAAACUGCCGUGCUUGAGUGUGGGAGAGGUGAGUGGAAUUCCCGGGAUGUAGCAGGUGAAAUGCGUAGAUAUCGGGAGGAACACCUGUGGCGAAAGCGGACUCGACUGGACCACUAACGUGACGCUGAUGCGCGAAAGCUAGGGGA